rnacentral:misc_RNA from 1 species
AGUUGUUUUGCAAUUAGUGAUACACAAGUUUUCCAGAUUGAUUAGCUUCCUGUUCAUAACUUUGUUGUAUGUUGUAUUAGAUUGUUGAGAAAGUCAUUCAUUCAUUUCCACACUGAUAAUGAACCCCCUGAGCAUCAAAAUUGUAAUGAGUUAAAUUUUUUAACAGGGCUCUUUCAUAUAUUUGAUUGGAUUCUCUCCAAAUUUUUUUACUCUGUGCUCAGGGAACAACUUUAAUAGGUGCUGUAUGAAUAAACUUCUUUUCCAGGGCAUUCAAUUUUUGGCAUCAUUCAAUUGUUCAUCAUGACAUUUCUGAAGACUUUGAAGCCAAGUGGCCCUUUGGUGGUUGGCUGCACAGACAUCAUGAUUGGCCGAACAAAGGAAGGGUCCCUGUUACGUCUCUUUUAUCCAACAGAUGCCAAAGAAUUGCCUCAGGAUGAGAGUCAGUGGACCCGCUGGUACUUGGGUGACUCCUACUCCCGAGGACUGGGCAAGUUUGUGGCUCCUUGGUUCCUGCAAGGCACUUUUGCUUGGUUGCUUAAUUGGCAAACACGUUACAGUUUGGUGCCAAGUGCUUGGUGCAGCAAUUUGUUGUCAGGGGACAAGAAGCUGCCAGUUGUUGUAUUCUCUCAUGGCCUGGGCGCCAACCGCAGCAUGUAUAGCUCUGUGUGCUGCCAGCUUGCAUCUCAUGGUUUUGUGGUGGCAGCCCUGGAGCACAGAGAUGGUUCUGCAUGCAGCAGCUUCACACUUAAUGAGGAAGGUGAAAAGGAGUGGCUGGAGUUUGAGUUGCACAAGCCUGGCGAUAAACAAAUUGUGCUCAGAAGCAAGCAGAUAGGUAUUCGGGUUAAAGAAUGUCAAAGCACUCUCACAAUAAUGGAACGCCUCAACUCCGGGGGAGUUGAAAAUGAGCUGAAGAAUGCGUUUGAUAUCAGGCAGCUGAUUGGGCGGUUGGACCUCUCAAGACCAAUCAUUGCGGGACACUCCUUUGGAGGCUGCGCGGCCAUCAACACGCAGCUGCAAGACAAACGCUUCAAACUUUGUGUUGCCUUGGACCCCUGGCUGUUCCCCAUGAAAGACUCGGUGGAGCUGUGUUCUAAAAUGGAGAAGCAUGUGCUGUGUGUCUCUACAGACACAUUCCAGACGCCUGAGAACUUGGAGGCUAUGAGUCACUUGCCUUCACAGCUCACCUCUUUUGUCACAAUCAAGGGCACAGUGCACCAGAACCAGGCAGACACGCCCUUCUUGCUGGGUACCGCGGGACGUCUCAUCGGGGGCACAAACUCGAAGCUCGACCACAGCCUGGCCAUGGAGAUCAACAACGCCCUCAUGAUGGCCUUCAUUCAUUCUCAUCACGGCCUCCCUAAAGGCCUGAGUGACGAGUACGGCGAGCGGUGGGAUGCCUUUGUUGCCGAGCAUCAAAGCAAGCUCGUGUAUGGGCUCUACGGCACCGCACGCAAAAUGAUCGGCUGGAACAAGACGGGAUUGUAAACCUUUCUCCCCUUCUGGUCACUUGGUACUCACUCUAUGACCGCAUUCCCAAUGGUAUUCGUAUGGCGUGCCUUGCUACACCUGCUGCCCGUUGACGGCACUGGCGCAGCACCAAGCUCUGGUCGUAUGUGGC